GGGCGCGUAGCUCAGCGGUAGAGCACUACCUUGACAUGGUAGGGGUCACAGGUUCAAUCCCUGUCGCGCCCACCA
rnacentral:tRNA from 1 species